UUGUGUGGUCAAGCUACAAAGGGUCCAUAAAGGAUGACUUGGCAAACUAAGGCGAUGAAGGACGCGGUAAGCAGCGAUAUGCUCCGGGGAGUCGCAAACAGACUUUGAUCCGGAGAUCUCCGAAUGGGAAAACCUUGCUUGAGUAAUAUCAAGUAAUCCUAGCCUAAAAUUCAAAAUAGGGUUAGGAAGCGACACCCAGAGAAUUGAAACAUCUAAGUAUCUGGAGGAAAAGAAACCGAAUGGUAUUCCCCUAGUAGCGGCGAGCGAAGAGGGAAGAGUCUAAACUUUGCAUCGCAAGAUGCAAGGGGUUGCGGGACCUCGAUAUCGGAUUGCAGAUAGAUAACAGAAGUGUAUGGAAAGACACGCCAAAGAAAGUGAAAGCCUUGUAAGCAAAAUCUUGAAGCACUGUAGAGGUAUCCCAAGUACUACGGGACACGUGAAACCCUGUAGGAAUCUGGCCCGACCACGGGCUAAGACUAAAUACUAUUUAGUUUGACCGAUAGUGGACAAGUACUGUGAAGGAAAGUUGAAAAGAACCCCGGUGAGGGGAGUGAAAUAGAACCUAAAAUUAUGGACCUACAAGCUGUCGGAGGGCUAUGAUAUCUGCGCAAGUGGAUAUAAUGCCUGACGGCGUACCUAUUGAAUAAUGAACCGACGAGUUACUGUGCGAUGCAAGUUUAAGUCCGAUAACGGACGAAGACGUAGCGAAAGCGAGUCUGAAUAGGGCGAUUAGUAUCGUAUAGUAGACCCGAAGCUGAGUGAUCUACUCAUGGCCAGGGUGAAGCUUUGCGAAAGCAAGGUGGAAGUCCGAACCCAUCAGUGUUGAAAAACUGCGGGAUGAGCUGUGAGUCGGAGUGAAAGGCUAAUCAAACUCAGAAAUUGCUGGUUCUCCCCGAAAUAGUUCUAGGACUAGCCUCGAGUGAUUGAAUAGUGGGGGUAGAGUGCUGAAUGGGCUAGCAGCCUUACCAGGCUAGCAAACCCAACCAAACUCCGAAUACCAUUAUUUUUACCUCGGGAGUCAGCCGGUGAGGGAUAAGCCUCAUCGUCGAGAGGGGAUCAGCCCAGACCGCCAGUUAAGGUCCCUAAGAAUAAGCUAAGUGGUAAAGGAUGUGAAAUCGCUUUGACAGCCAGGAUGUUGGCUCAGAGGCAGCCACCAUUUAAAGAGUGCGUAACAGCUCACUGGUCGAGAGGUUUCGCGCCUAAAAUAAUCGGGGCUCAAGCUUAUUACCGAAACUGUGGUUCUCCGACGGAAACGUCGGAGGGGGUAGGGGAGCAUUCUGUCUUACAUUGAAGGUGUACCGUAAGGAGCACUGGAGGAGACAGAAGGGAUAAUGUCGGUAUGAGUAGCGAAAAGAUCCGCGAGAAACGGAUCCGUCGAAAAUCUAAGGUUUCCUGGGGAAGGUUAAUCCGCCCAGGGUUAGUCGAUCCUAAGCCGAGGCCGAAGGGCGUAGGUGAUGGAGAGCCGGUUAAUAUUCCGGCACCGACUAGAUUGCGUUAUAACUUAUCAGUUGACACAGUAAGCUAGGUCUGCGGAGUGUUGGAUGUCUCCGUUUGAACCUGUAGGCCUUAACGGAAGUUGAGGAUGAGAGGUUUCAGGAGUCUGCGCUACGGCAAGGGCGAAGUGACCGACGCUACGCUGGCGAGAAAAAGCUGAUGAGGAGUGGUCUAGUUGUCCGUACCGUAAUCCAACACAGGUAGAUAUCCAGAAUAUGGAAAGACGCUCGAGAUAACUCUUGUUAAGGAACUCGGCAAAAUAGCCCCGUAACUUCGGGAGAAGGGGUACUUUGGAAUGUGAAGGGCACACCGGAGCGUUCCAGAGUUUCAAUAAAGUGGCCCGGGUGACUGUUUAGUAAAAACACAUCUCUCUGCAAAGUCGCAAGACGACGUAUAGGGAGUGACACCUGCCCGGUGCUGGAAGGUUAAGGAGAGGAGUUAGUGUCCGCCGUAAGGUGGAUGCAAAGCCCCGAACUGAAGCCCCAGUAAACGGCGGCCGUAACUAUAACGGUCCUAAGGUAGCGAAAUUCCUUGUGGGGUAAGUUCCCACGCGCACGAAUGGUGUAACAACUUGGGCGCUGUCUCAACAAGAGGCUCGGCGAAAUUGUAGUGGCGGUGAAGAUGCCGUCUACCCGCAUCAAGACGAAAAGACCCCGGAACUUUUACUGUACCCUGGUAUUGGAUUUUGGUCCGAUUUGUGUAGUAUAGGUGGGAGGCUUUGAAGCCCGGUCGCUAGAUCGGGAUGAGCCACAAUGUGAAAUACCACCCUCAUCGUAUUAAAAUCCUAAUUGUCUUCCUUGAAUCAGGAGACAAGACAUUGCCAGGCGGGCAGUUUGACUGGGGCGGUUUCCUCCUAAAUGAUAACGGCGGAGUCCAAAGGUUGGCUCAAGGCGGUCGGCAAUCGCCUGAGGAGUGCAAAGGCACAAGCCAGCUUAACUGCGAGGUCGACAGACCGAACAGAUACGAAAGUAGGGCUUAGUGAUCCGGUGAUACCUCGUGGGAGGGUCAUCGCUCAUCGAAUAAUAAGUACUCCGGGGAUAACAGGCUUAUCGGGCUCGAGAGUUCAUAUCGACAGCCCGGUUUGGCACCUCGAUGUCGGCUCAUCCUAUCCUGGGGCUGGAUAAGGUCCCAAGGGUCCGGCUGUUCGCCGGUUAAAAGGGUACGCGAGCUGGGUUUAGAACGUCGUGAGACAGUUCGGUCUCUAUCUGAUGUGGGCGCAGGAUGUUUGACGAGGAGCUCUCCUUAGUACGAGAGGACCAGGAGGGACGGACCUCUGGUGUUCCAGUUGUUCUGCCAAGGGCAAAGGCUGGGUAGCUAUGUUCGGUCGGGAUAAGCGCUGAAGGCAUAUAAGCGCCAAGCCCACCUCAAGAACAGACAUCCCUUCUCGACUUGUCGAGAUAUAGGCACCUUGUAGACUACGAGGUUGAUAGGCUGCGUGUGUAAGAGCCGUGAGGCUUUAAGCUUAGCAGUACUAAUCUGCCAAUCGGCUUGACCC
rnacentral:rRNA from 1 species